rnacentral:tRNA from 1 species
UUCUCGUUAGUAUAGUAAGUAUCCUUGACUUCCAAUUAAGAGGACUAGAGUAGAUCUAGAUGGGAAA